GUGGUGUUGGUGGGCCGACAGUGGCUGGGUAUAGCCAUAGGAUGGAGUAUUUUGCUGGUCAAGGUCAAUACAAGUAUUCACAAUAUUAUUAUUAUUUUCGGUUCAUGGGUCAGAAGGCCAUCAGUGCAUUGGAAUGCAUACUGCUGUCGCAUACCAACAUGGUGCACAUUCUUUCCUCUCACAAGAAAUAUUCUACUUCAUAUUUGUUGAACUUUUAAACUGUUUGUCUUUUUUUAGGUUAUUUUACUUGAAGAAGUUGUUACGAGUCAGAGCAGAAUAUCUCAACGUAAUGCAAAUGUCGAAAGUUUUAGGCGAGCAGCUAAACAGUGGGCACCCGGUAUGGCCCGUUGUGAUUCACGGUCAUUAUACGGAUGCUGGUGACUUAGCGGGCCGGUUAUCCGAUGCGUUAAACAUACCAAUGCUUUUCACGGGUCAUUCGCUUGGUCGAGAUAAGUUGGAACAAAUUCUGAGACAAGGAAGAUUAACGAAAGAUGAAAUUAACACUGCGUACAAAAUCAUGCGGAGGAUAGAGUCGGAAGAAUCGAGUCUUGAUUCAUCUGAGGUGGUUAUUACUAGCACCCGGCAGGAGAUUGAUGAACAGUAGCGGUUGUAUGACGGGUUUGACCC